CUAAUAAGCGAGAAUGGGCGCGAACUCAACGAUCUGAGACAAGAGGUAUCGUCACUUAAACGCCAGCUGGAUGGUGCAGUGGAUAGCAUAAGGCGACUUGAGAGAAGAAUGGAAUCUUCAGAGCACAAUUUAGCGCUCAGGAACGUUGUUCUCUCAGACAUCGAGGAAUAUGUCCGACAGCAGCAAGUUUCCACGUACGACGGGACACUGCUUUGGAAAAUAUCGGAUUACGCUCGCCGAAGAAACGAUGCCAUCAGCGGAAACCAGACGUCUAUUUAUAGCCCGUGUUUUUACACCAGUCGCCACGGGUACAAAAUGUGCGCCCGUCUGUAUUUGAAUGGGGACGGCAUGGGCAAAGGAACACACUUGUCGCUGUUUUUUGUCGUCAUGCGCGGCGAGUUUGACGCGUUACUCCGCUGGCCAUUCAGACAGAAGGUCACCAUGAUGUUGUUGGAUCAAGACAAUGUGGAGCAUGUGAUCGAUGCGUUCAGACCCGAUCCAACCAGCUCGUCUUUCCAAAGGCCCAGGCGGGAGACAAACAUUGCAAGCGGGUGCCCCUUGUUUUGCCCACUGUCAGAGUUGAAUAAUCACGCCUACGUACGAGACGACACCAUGUUCUUAAAGAUUAUAGUGGAUACUCUGGAUCUCUAAACAUAUAACUAAGACAACCUUGUAAGUUACAGUUAGAGAAUCGGGGGAAUAAGUUUCGUAUUUGCGGUCAAUACCGUAAAGCUUUUAAUCACUUAUCAAAGAACAGCGCUAUAAGUGCGAGCAAUCUACACUACUUCAGAAGUCCAUUAGUACCUUUGAGAAGAACAUUGCCAGCGAGCUCAGUCCGGUCUCGACAGCCAGAAUUUUCCAUCAACCGAUACUUUCUCCCCCGACUUUAGAAGCAGACAAUAGUGUCAAAAUCUCGAAAAGAAAGUUAGCCUUUGAACAAGCUCCCGAUUGGGUUACAGGGCAAAAAAGACUAUGGCGAGCGGAGCUUGUUGACUUGCUUCGCUCGCCGAAUUUUUUACACCUCGCAUGGAGCCUGUUAACAAGCUAGAGGAAUCUGAUCUGACUCGUCCUCAGACGUCCACUAAAAGGUGACUAGGGUCGAAUCAGAAUAACUAUUUAUCUAACUGAUUAUAAGAGCGGUUUUCAAUUGAGUGUUUAUAAGUGACCACAACCAAAGUAAUCACGGGCAAAUCAGGGAGAAUACUGACAAUCCAGUAAACCAAUCAAGACUCGAAUCACAUACAUGUGGCUGACGCAAGACGCGGCAAAACGUGUAUGAGCAAGUCGCGAGUGGUUUAACUUUUGGUUUCAAGUCCGACUGGAUGAGAAAGUGGUAGGAUAUUUUUAAGCCAAUCGCAAAGCGUAUUAAUGUAACCAAAGCUAAUGAGGAUUACUUUUGACACUGAAGUGAAAAGCGCUCUUUAAUUAACUCAGUGUUCUUUUAAAGGUCAAAUGAACCAAAAUUUAGACACUUUUUCCAUUUGAGUUCAGUGUGUUCAUUAAGUAUAAAAUAAACAUAUUCUGAAGUUUCAAACGAAUUGGAAGAAGCAUUGCGGAAAUAUUGGAAAGUUAACAUCAUUGUUUUUUAUCCUUCAUAAUCGUAGAGCGGUCGGGAAAAUUGUCGAACAAUUGUCGGAAAUAAAACUUGUGACGUCACUGUUGGUGAGCUCAAGAAAUGCGGGAAAUUUGAAACUGCUUUGGUUUCAAGUUCUCAGUGAACUUCAAAGGAAAACCACUCAAAAUCAAAGAAACAAGAGGGUAAUUUAUUGCCUGAAUUGGGAUAAAGAAGACAUCACGAGAAGUACCCAUGACUAAAGCAGUGGUAGAUUCUCUAACAGCUCUUGCACCUGUAGGUCAACAUGUCAGUGAAGUUGCACAUGAGCAUGUGCCGGCAUUGAGGCAGUGGCUAGCAACCAAAGGGAUCAGAAACUCAUAUGACAGCUGGCAUGGGUGUCAAGAAGGCCAUCAAAAAGGUUGCCAGUAGGCUUGUUAGGGACUCAGAGAGGUCUUGGCUUGCAGAGUUGUCAGACAAAGGUAAUUUUCCAUUUGAGGAGACAUGCCUGUGCAGAAAGUUAUUUACAUAAAGUUUACUUGUGAUGUGGCCUGUCUGUAUUUUAUUAUCAUCCACUGGAUCCUGAGUAACUUUUGUGGUGAAAAUCUUAUGCAUUAUACCGUUGUUAGUUGAAGUUAAAAAAGCGUUCUAAGAAUGAAUUCCGUUGUUUUGACAGUGAAGUGCACCAAGACGCAUAUUUAUUAUGCAAUGAAGAAUUGUAAUGGUGAUGCAGACAAGCUGAAACGAUACAUAGUAAACAUUGUAGACCAUUACCAGGUAAAAGGGUUCACGAGGUACAUGUACCUUUGAAUUGUGAUCCUAAUUUUGUGACCAGAAGAGAUUUAUUCCCAGGGUACAAGUAGCUAUGAGUGGUUAGUGGCUGUUGAGACGAUAUUUUUUAUUUCCCUCACCCCACAGGUGAUCGAGCCCUUUGCACCUCAUCAUUAUCAAGGUUGUACAAGCUACUGAAUCGGAACCUCUAGCUCUACACAGUAAACAUUGUUCGUAUGGUCGAAAGGUUGUUUAAUUCAUUUUAUCUGUGUGGCACAGGGGGAUCACUCCAAUUGCCAUCAGGAGUCUCGAUGUCAUCAGCAAGCCUAUGAAUGCAGCAAAAACUGACCCCUUGUUACUGCACAGGCUAUUGCAGCAUACCGGAAGGCUGUAGUGGGGACCAACCCCUAAAAAUUCGCUGAAGAUUAUGCCUUGGUAGUACCGGGAUUCAUACAUCAAUACCUAUUGAGUGGAAUUGUAUCUUUACUCCACAGAUCUGCAAAUAACCACUUUAUUUCAUACAGUAUGUGGAAAGUCAACGAGUGGGCAGUAACAUUCCUCCCACCAAACAAACGAACGCUUGCACUACUCACUGCACAUAGUAAUGUUUAUUAAUUUAUGAACAUGAAGCGCUUCCAUUUCAGUCGUAAAGACACCAAUGAAAUGAGAAUGCAGCUUACGGUACUAGACUGGGGAUGUACCACAAUACUUUUAUUAGUAUUACAUGUAUCUUCACAAAAAGUGGCAGUACCUCAGUUACAAGAAUUUACAUCAAGUACACUCCCUUGUUUGAACCUGUUAUUAGUACUGA
rnacentral:misc_RNA from 1 species